rnacentral:rRNA from 1 species
UAGAAGGCAGCAGUGGGGAAUAUUGCACAAUGGGCGAAAGCCUGAUGCAGCUAUGCCGCGUGUAUGAAGAAGGCCUUAGGGUUGUAAAGUACUUUCAUCGGGGAGGAAAAACAAAACUAAUAAUUUUAUUUCUUGACGUUACCCGAAAAAGAAGCACCGGCUAACUCCGUGCCAGCAGCCGCGGUAAUACGGAGGGUGCUAGCGUUAAUCAGAAUUACUGGGCGUAAAGAGCACGUAGGUGGUUUUUUUAAGUCAGAUGUGAAAUCCCUGGGCUUAACCUGGAACUGCAUUUUGAAACUGAAAUACUAGAGUAUCGUAGAGGGAGGUAGAAUUCUAGGUGUAGCGGUGAAAUGCGUAGAUAUCUGGAGGAAUACCUGUGGCGAAAGCGGCCUCCUAAACGAAUACUGACACUGAGGUGCGAAAGCGUGGGGAGCAAACAGGGAUUAGAUACC